GGAGGUUACUGCUAUCGAGGUUCGACUAAGCCAUGCGAGUCGAAUGUAGCAAUACAUGGCGAACUGCUCAGCAACACGUGGACAACCUGCCCUUAGGACGGGGAUAAACCCGGGAAACUGGGUAUAAUACCCGAUAGGUCUCGAUUGCUGGAAUGCAUCGAGAUUUAAAGCUCCGGCGCCUAAGGAUGGGUCUGCGGCCUAUCAGGUAGUAGUGGGUGUAGCGUACCUACUAGCCUACGACGGGUACGGGUUGUGAGAGCAAGAGCCCGGAGAUGGAUUCUGAGACACGAAUCCAGGCCCUACGGGGUGCAGCAGGCGCGAAAACUUUACAAUGCUGGCAACAGCGAUAAGGGAACCUCGAGUGCCAGGUUACAAAUCUGGCUGUCGAGAUGCCUAAAAAGCAUUUCAUAGCAAGGGCCGGGCAAGACCGGUGCCAGCCGCCGCGGUAACACCGGCGGCUCGAGUGGUAACCGUUAUUAUUGGGUCUAAAGGGUCUGUAGCCGGCCGGAUAAGUCUCUUGAGAAAUCUGGCAGCUUAACUGUCAGGCUUUCAGGAGAUACUGUCUGGCUCGAGGCCGGGAGAGGUGAGAGGUACUUCAGGGGUAGGGGUGAAAUCUUGUAAUCCUUGAAGGACCACCAGUGGCGAAGGCGUCUCACCAGAACGGACCUGACGGCAAGGGACGAAAGCUAGGGGCACGAACCGGAUUAGAUACCCGGGUAGUCCUAGCCGUAAACGAUACUCGCUAGGUGUCGGCCACGGUGCGACCGUUGUCGGUGCCGUAGGGAAGCCGUGAAGCGAGCCACCUGGGAAGUACGGCCGCAAGGCUGAAACUUAAAGGAAUUGGCGGGGGAGCACCACAACGGGUGGAGCUUGCGGUUUAAUUGGAGUCAACGCCGGA
rnacentral:rRNA from 1 species